UGGGGAUUUCCGUGCAUUUUCUGUUAUUACCCAAGAUGACAUGUCCUUUCUUUUCACCCAGGCCUGUGAAUUUGAGAGCCUGAAAGGAGGCAUGUGCCUGUGCUUGGGUAAUCUAGUCCCUUGUCUAGAUUACAAGGACAGGUCCUAAAUAAGAAGAGCCAUACUGAAGAAGUUUUAUUCAGGAGACAGACUGAGAAGAGAGCCAGAUUACCUCCUGGGACUUUUCAAAAAUGCCUCAUCCCAAGGAACGCCCCAAGGGUCUAGAACUGCCCAUCCCAGGUCAACUGGGAAGAAGGAAAGACAAGACAAGAACGUACAACCUGCAAAUAAUAGUAAGGGAGUAAGUGGAAAUAUGAAAUAAAUACUGAUGCGCCUGCCCCA
rnacentral:lncRNA from 1 species